rnacentral:rRNA from 1 species
GUCAUAUGCUUGUCUCAAAGAUUAAGCCAUGCAUGUCUCAGUACAAGCCAAAUUAAGGUGAAACCGCGAAAGGCUCAUUAAAUCAGUUAUGGUUCCUUAGAUCGUACCCACAAUUACUUGGAUAACUGUGGUAAUUCUAGAGCUAAUACACGCAAACAGAGCUCCGACCGGAGACGGAAGGAGUGCUUUUAUUAGAUCAAAACCAAUCGGUGGCGGGUUCGCUCGUUAUCGUACAACUUGGUGACUCUGAAUAACUUUACGCUGAUCGCACGGUCGUCGCACCGGCGACGCAUCUUUCAAAUGUCUGCCUUAUCAACUGUCGAUGGUAGGUUCUGCGCCUACCAUGGUUGUAACGGGUAACGGGGAAUCAGGGUUCGAUUCCGGAGAGGGAGCCUGAGAAACGGCUACCACAUCCAAGGAAGGCAGCAGGCGCGCAAAUUACCCACUCCCGGCACGGGGAGGUAGUGACGAAAAAUAACGAUACGGGACUCAUCCGAGGCCCCGUAAUCGGAAUGARUACACUCUAAACCCUUUAACGAGGAUCAAUUGGAGGGCAAGUCUGGUGCC